UACGUAGGGACCGAGCGUUGUCCGGAUUCAUUGGGCGUAAAGAGCUCGUAGGCGGCUGCUCAAGUCGAAUGUGAAAACUCGGGAGCUACACCUCGCCUGCAUUCGAUACUGGGCGGCUAGAGUCUGGUAGGGGGAUCUGGAAUUCCUGGUGUAGCGGUGGAAUGCGCAGAUAUCAGGAGGAACACCGGUGGCGAAGGCGGGAUCCUGGGCCAGUACUGACGCUGAGGAGCGAAAGCGUGGGGAGCAAACAGG
rnacentral:rRNA from 1 species